AGUGAACGCUGGCGGUAGGCCUAACACAUGCAAGUCGAACGGCAGCACAGUAAGAGCUUGCUCUUACGGGUGGCGAGUGGCGGACGGGUGAGGAAUACAUCGGAAUCUACUUUUUCGUGGGGGAUAACGUAGGGAAACUUACGCUAAUACCGCAUACGACCUACGGGUGAAAGCAGGGGAUCUUCGGACCUUGCGCGAUUGAAUGAGCCGAUGUCGGAUUAGCUAGUUGGCGGGGUAAAGGCCCACCAAGGCGACGAUCCGUAGCUGGUCUGAGAGGAUGAUCAGCCACACUGGAACUGAGACACGGUCCAGACGCCUACGGGAGGCAGCAGUGGGGAAUAUUGGACAAUGGGCGCAAGCCUGAUCCAGCCAGACCGCGUGGGUGAAGAAGGCCUUCGGGUUGUAAAGCCCUUUUGUUGGGAAAGAAAAGCAGCAGGUUAAGACCCCGCUGUUCUGACGGUACCCAAAGAAUAAGCACCGGCUAACUUCGUG
rnacentral:rRNA from 1 species